rnacentral:lncRNA from 1 species
AUUAUAGUUGAUUUACAUUGUUCUGUCAAUUUCUGUUGUACAGCAAAGUAACCCAGUUAUACAUACAUACGCAGUUUUUUUUCCACAUUAUCCUCCAUCAUGUUCCAUCACAAGUGAUCAGAUAUAGUUCCUUGGGCUAUACAGCAGAAUCCCAUCGCUUAUCCAUUCCAAAUGCAGUAGUUUGCAUCUAUGAACCCCAAAUUCCCAGUGCCUCCCAAUCCCUCCCCCUCAGCAACCACAAGUCUGUUCUCCGUGUCCAUGAGUUUGUUUCUUUUCUGCAGAUGGGUUCAUUUGUGCCAUAUAUUACAUUCCAGAUAUAAGAGAUAUCAUAGAGUAUUUGUCUUUCUCCUACUAACUUCACUUAGCAUGAGAGUCUCUAGUUCCAUCCAUGUUGUUGCAAAUGGCGUUAUUGUGUUCUUUAUUUUUUAUUUUUAAUGAUUUUUUCCAUUAUAGCUGACUUACAGCGUUCUGUCAAUUUUCUACUGUACAGCAAGGUGACCUAGUUACACAUGCGUAUAUACCUUCUUUUUUCUCCCAUUAUCCUGCUCCAUCAGAAGUGACUACACAUAGUUCCCAGCGCUACACAGCAGGAUCUCAUUGCUCAUCCAUUCCAAAGGCAACAGUCUGCAUCUACAUGGCAUCACUUAUAUCUGGAAUCUAAUAUACAGCACAAAUGAACCUUUCCACAGAAAAGAAAAUCAUGGACUUGGAGAAUAACUAUUUAAAAUAUACUUAUUUUAUAGUGUCCUUAAGAUUAUUCUAUUACAUCUAAUUUGCGGUGCUAAUUCUCUGGUUUGCUGGGUUUUCUAACUGUCCCUCCCAACGGGUGCACCAGUCCAUAUGCAUUCACAAUCUUUCUCUGUAGCAAGUUAUUUUAUUUUCCUGGAGUCCUGCGAGUCAUUAGCUGUGAGGAUGAACCUGUGGACAGGUUUUGCUUUUGUCUCGGCUGAGGAUUCUGGAGAUUUCAAAGAUUCUAGACACAUUUCGAUAUUAAUUGUUUGGCGUGGGUUUCCUCUGCCACACGGGUACUGUGAGUGCGAAUUCAACAUUGAGUAGGGUGCAGUCCUGGGUUUUUCAUUUCCUGCAGAUGACCUCUUUCCACUCAAGAGCCCACGUGCCGGCCUCCUCAUAACUUCCCUGGGCCGGGGUUGCUUCCUUAGCAAUCGUCCCAGUCCCCUUUUCAGAAGCUGGAUGGAAGGGCUGUUUGAGACGGCCGCUCCCCUGCAUCUUCAAGGUCUGGAGCCUCAUGUCCUAUGCCACACAGGCAUCAGAACCCCAGCCCUCAGCUCUGGGGCUUGUAUCGGGGUGUGAACUCGUCGUGGUCUGCUGCUCCGAUUCCUUUCUUCCUGUCUGGCAUUUGGGGAUUGCCCUUUCGUUCUUUUCUGAGGUCAUAUAUGUAUUUAAAUUCUGAGGAUUUGUCUUUAUAGCACUACUAUGUGUUAGUAUGAGGAGAGAGGUCUUGGUCUGCUUUACUGUUGGAAGGAGUCUGCUAUUGAUUCUUUUCAGAAGGUCUCAGAAGAACUCUCCAAUCACCUUACUCUGAUUGACUUCCGGUGUUGCUGUGAUGGGGGUUGGGGGGGUGGGGAGAGUGAUCUAUGUGACAUUCCUAAUAUAGAGUGACUAUCCCAUCAUGCAAAGAAAUCAUAGAGACACACAAUUUAUGUAAAAUUAGUCUCAAGAAGACAUGAUAUACUUCUGGAUGUUCUUAAUGAUAUACAAUGUAUCUUGAAAUUAGGGUCAGAAAUCAGUGACCUUUGCAUUCUGACGAACACGUCCCUGGGAUAAAUUGCAUUUUUAUUACAUUAUAUUACAUCACUGCAAUUAGAUGAGACUCUUUUGGGAUUUUGAAUGCUUUUCUUUAACAUUUAAAAUAUGCAUGUAUAUUAUUUAUAUGCAUGUCAUACAUGGCAAUUUGAGGGUUCUAUAAACAAAAUUCAUACAUAAAAAUGAGAAAAAAAUGUGGUAAUUCACUAAUUGACAGAAUUAAGCAAAUGAGACCAUCACAUUGGGCCUUGGACGAAAGAUCAUUUUUGUUUAAUUUAUAAUAUUCCAAGAGAAAAAAAAGAAAUUCUUAAAAACAAAAAUGAUUUUUGAGAGCUAAUUUCCAAAAAGCAAACUUAGUAAUAUAUAGAAAUCAUGGCAUGAAAUUACUCACAGUUUUUGCAAGCAAUUAUUAUGGUAUAAUAGAGGGUUAUAUUUUCCGUGUUGGAUGGUUAUGAAAAAUGAUAAAAAGCAUCCUUUUGGCUUUUUUCAGCUCCCUUGGGAAAGAUGCUGAUAAGAAAGAAAGACAAGGAGGAAAAAAUGCUAGAAUUCUGUAACACAAACAAGACACACAAGCCAUUUUCUUAACUUCACACUGUUCAGGAGAAUGACAAAACACCAAUUUCCACAAGAUGGUCUGUCUUGCAAAUAUGGAACACUUCCCAUUCAAAUAGGUAUCUGGGGCAUUCUGGGUAAGCCAGCCAAAACGGGUAGCAAGAGCAUGUAAAUUAAAGUAGCAACCUUUCCCAUCCCGAGUACUCAUCCGUGCCACUGACACACUGCAGAAAGGAUGCCAGACCUGCCACUGACAGAAAUCUCACGUCUGUAGCCUGCUGCGAGAUCUCUGAAAAGCACCGCUUUCAGCAUGUAGGAUUCCUUUCUUGGUGACAAGAAGUUGAGCGGAGGAAAUAACAUACCAUUUGGUGUCCUCUGGGCAGGUCUGUGAACAGACUUGUGCUGAGCCCCUGUGUUGCUUUUCAAGAUGUUCAAGAUCUGUAUGUGCUAUGUGCUGCAACAUCCAAGUGGCAUAUAAACAAACCGGUGUUGACUUCCAGGAAAAUGCAAUUACCAUUUUAGGAGAACCAUCACAUUUGCCUCAACCCAAAUGAUUUGCAAAAUGACAAACUGCAGCUUCUCAGUAUGGCUUGUAAGACAACCACCUGACCCCCAGAAGUGCAGACGUAGCACAACCUCAAAUAAGGCCUGGGCUAUGGCAGCAGACACUGUCAGGGGGUCGGCCUAUGUCCCCUCGUCCUUACCAUUUCAGUGCAGUCCAGCCUGACUUCCACUUGCCAGUGCCCCCCCGAAGUUUGCAUUGCCCUCUCAUGUGGCAGGCUAGAAGUGCUGGGGAAGUAACGCCAGUUGCCUGCCCACAGUGAUAAUUGGCUUGAUACCACACUCUUCAUUGGCAGCCUUCCCUCCUUGUUUCGCGUUCCUGCUUCCCUACUGUGUUUCCUCGGGCCAACUCUCCAACCAGCUCCCAUGUACCUGAGUCCCUGUUUCGGUGUCAGCCUCUGGAGGAACACAAGCUAAGACAAUUAUCUUCUAUUAGAGGUCCUGGCACCUUGGCAUUUGCGCAGGCUUCAAGAUGUCAGGGUUUUAGUUGAGAAGGACGAAUAUUAGAAUACGGUUUCAUAUGCACCCCUAUGUUCACGAUUUACAAUAGUCAAGAUACAGAAGUACCCUAGGUGUUCAUCAACAGAUGAGUGGAUACUUUUGUGAUAUAUAUAUAUAUCUCGAAUAUUAGCCAGAAUGGAAUUAAUAUUGAUCCAAAUACCAGUUAAAAUAACCAGACUCUUGUUUGAAAGCAACAGAGGUGCUCUGGUGGCCUUGGGUCUUGUGGGCUUCAGAACACAUGUGAAAAUGAUCAUUUUUACCAUCGAUUGAACAAACGUUUACUGAGCGCCUAGCAGGUAGGAGGCACUAUUACAAGCACUUUACCUGUAGUGACUUACCUAAUCACCACGAAAUGCUAAGAAAUAAGCAUUAUUGUUAUCACCCCUGUCUUAUGGCUAGGGGAACUGAGAGAUGAAGCAAAGGUCCCAGGGAUCCCGAUCUUGUGCUUACACUUCGCAGGAAGGGCAGUACGGCUGGCCUUGCGGGAGCUGGGAUCGAGCUGCGGGAUCUCGUCACUGGUCACUCACGACUUCAUGGCUACUUUGUCUGGGCUCUGCGUUUCUGGGACUCUUAGACUCUGAAAACUAUGUUAGGUUCCACAUUUGAAGAGAGGUGGAUAAGGUGACAGGCUUUUUUAUUUCCUUUGAAAGCUUUUAAAAUUGAAGAAUAACACACACAAAGACAAGGGCACAAAUCCUAAGUAGACAGCUCAAUGAAUUGUUACAAAGUAAACACAGAUCAAGAUACGCAACAGGAGGCUUUUCCGAGGGCUCUGGCGGUCUCCUUACCAUCCUAUGGUUCACAGGCCAGUAUCAAGAGUGACAAUAAAUCAUGCUGAGAGUAUGUGCUGUUGAGAGGACGUGAUGAAAAUGGCACUUUGUCACUGUGAUCUUCCUUCCCUAACCCGUAACUCUAGUCAAAUCAUAAGAAAAAAAAAAUCAACCAAAUCCAAGGGGUGGGGGAGGGCAUCCAACAAAAUACCUGAUCAGCCUCCUCAAGGUCAUCGAAAACAAGGAAAGUCUGAGAAACCAUCAUAGCCAAGAGGAGCCCAAAGAUACAUUACAUGAAUUCUGAUAUCCAGAGAAAAAGGGCAUUAUGUAAAAGCACAGGAAAUGUGAAUCAACUACGGUCUUCAGUUAACAACGAUGUAUUGAUAUUAUUUUGUUAAUUGUAAUUGGUCACAACAGUUUUGGAUCAAUACAUAACCUUGUUUUAUGUGUGUUUCUGUUUAAAGACUCCGCUAGGGAUCGAACUCACGCCACAGCAGCGACCUGAGCCAUUGCAGGGACAAUGCCAGAUCUUAACUUGCUAAGCCACACGGGAACUGCUGACACUUCAUUUGAUACAUAGUUGAUUCAUUAAUAUUGAAUAUUCAUGGCAAAUAGCCUUCCCUUUUUGUAAACAAAGCUUAUCUAACUCCUACAUUUUCUCCAUCAGGCGUCUCACAGCUUUCUGGUUCUUAGGAGCACUAGACAGCACUUCAGCACUAUGCUUAGGGGGCAUUUGAAACACAAAAUCACUUGAAAAAGGCACAAAAAUGGGAAAAUUAUGGCACAAAACAGACCACAAAAAGGAUACUUGCUCGCAGUAUGAGAGUAGAUACGAGAAGGCAGAGUCUUCUUCCACCUUAGCUGGGAACGCGUGCAUUGGACAACUCAAACUUUUUACCUUGUGUACAUGCCUUGCUUACAAAGGGCCACAGAAGUGUCACGAGUAUCCAUUUGGGAGUCAUGCAUAAAUUUUAGUGAGUAGGUGAGAAAUCACAAAUAUGGGAUCCAUGAAAAACAGGAAUCAACUAUAUAUUUAUUCUAAAAACUCUAUGAAUACGUUCCCCAAUAACUUAAGUUCUUUUGACAACCCAUUACAGAUGGCUCAUUUCUGAAUUUGUGUAACUUGCUAAAAUUUAUCUAUUUAUCUAUCUAGUUUUUUAUUUAGUCUAUACUUGUGCUAUACAGUAGCCAUAUGUGGCUGUUAGUACUUUAAAUGUGGCUGAUCUAAGCUAAGAUGUGCUACAAGGAUUCACACCAGAUUUUGAAAGCUUAGUACAAAAAAAGUAUGAAAAAAGAAUGUAAAUGAUCUCAUUAAUAAUUUUAAUCUUGAUUACAUGUUAAAAUAAUUAUAUUUUAAUAUAAAUGGUUAAAUAAAAUACUAAAAUUAAUUUCACCUGUUUCUUUUUAUGUUUAUAAUGUGACCACUAGAAAAAAAUGACGCAUGUGA